CCUACGGGAGGCUGCAGUGGGGAAUAUUGGGCAAUGGGCGCAAGCCUGACCCAGCAACGCCGCGUGAAGGAAGAAGGCUUUCGGGUUGUAAACUUCUUUUCUCAGGGACGAAGCAAGUGACGGUACCUGAGGAAUAAGCCACGGCUAACUACGUGCCAGCAGCCGCGGUAAUACGUAGGUGGCAAGCGUUAUCCGGAUUUACUGGGUGUAAAGGGCGUGUAGGCGGGACUGCAAGUCAGAUGUGAAAACCACGGGCUCAACCUGUGGCCUGCAUUUGAAACUGUAGUUCUUGAGUGCUGGAGAGGCAGACGGAAUUCCUAGUGUAGCGGUGAAAUGCGUAGAUAUUAGGAGGAACACCAGUGGCGAAGGCGGUCUGCUGGACAGCAACUGACGCUGAGGCGCGAAAGCGUGGGGAGCAAACAGGAUUAGAUACCCCGGUAGUC
rnacentral:rRNA from 1 species